UCCCGAUCGAGACUCAAAUUCUUUCAAGACUUGGAGUACACACUGAACUGAUUCUAUGUUACCCUCUAUGAAGAUCAGAAGAUCAUCAGCAAAAGACAGAUGCAGGAACUGAGCCAGUGCAGAAACUUCUGUGGAACGCCCAAGCCCUGAAGACAUGAGAAGAGGAAGUCCCAGGAAAGAGUAUCAAACGCCUUUGCAAUGUCGACUUUGAUGGAAACUUGGGGACCAUGGAGAGGAUUGUAGCAUUUGCUGAAAAAGGCAAGAAUCCCGAGUUAAAGAAGUGAGUAACUGCAUUUACUACAUCGAGUAACUGCAUUUACUACAUCAACACCAACAGAGUCCUACGCUGCCUUAAAGAACCCCGAGGAGUUGGGAUCAUCAUCAUUUGGGUGCACUGCUCCGGGGUAACCGCAUGAUUGAGCAAGUUUCCAAACCAUUCCGGAGAGGAGGCUAUGACUGGAGGCAAGUAAACUGGGCCUAACACAGAGCGAAAGUGGGAUACUGCAUGUUCACUCAUUUCCACAGGAUCAGUAAUCCAUACUCCUGAGCUUGUGAGGAAAGCUCUGAUUGCAUUGUAACUUGACCGGACCAGACAAAUCCUGUGAAAGAAGUUCCAUUUUUGGUGUAGGUCUCUCUCCGCUUGGAAGUUUGUGGAGCUCGGGUCUUGCAAUGCCUGUACCUGCACAAGUUGUAGUAAACUCUUCCAACACAACUGAGAGAUCGUUUGACACACGCUUCCAGCAUGAAUCCAGCCGUCUAUGAUCAACUGAGCGAACCCCGGGUGUUUGGUAAGGAGGAGUAUAGGUGAGGCAGUUUCGCAGGAUGUGACCAAGUUCAUGACAAUGCGAACAUGUUGGAGGCACCCAAGGAUAAUGGACUUGCACUUCCACCACUUAUCCACUCUCCCUUUCGAAUUCAACAACAGGCGGCAGAGUCUCCUUUGGUUCACAAACUAGUCCAGCAACUAAGCUCAGCCCUUCAUCAUACCGAAGAUCCAGAGGCACGCCUGUUAGGUGAGCCCAGAUUUGAAUUGCUUUUAGUGGGGGCGUGGACAUAGAGUGGUUUGAAUUCCACUGAGCAGUGUGGAACAUUGAAUCACCUACAUACCAUAUAUUUUUCUCCAGAAUCUUCUGCCUAAGAGUCGGGGAUGACCACACGAGGCCGACCAGAGGGAGCUAGAGUUGCGGGAGCGAGCCGCUUCAGAGACAUGUCAGCAGAGGCACGAAGAUUUUCUACUAAGGUUUGUUUCGGAGUUGGGACUGUGCCAUUUUUUGUUUCAGGGUUAGUAGAGGGCGGGGUAGGAUUAACAUUUAAGGUUUUUUUAGGCUGAGUCUGGGUAGUAGAGCAGGCUUUGUUGGAAAGGAUAGGUGAGGAAUCUCUGGGGGGAAGGGUUUCAUAGGUCUGGUUGAGAUUUGGCUCAGAAGUUCUUAGAUGGACUGUAGCAAUUUCAGAUCUGAGAAUUGGAAUAGUACCACCAGUAGAUAGGGUUGAGUUUUGUUGUCCAUUUCCAUCGGGAUAAUGUCGGAGCAGGUAGUAAUUUCUUGCUUCUUCUCUGUGGGAGAAGCAUUAGUAGAAGAUUGGAUGGGAUUUUUUCUGGUGCCUUUGCGGGAACCAGCAGAAGCAGUUUUGAAAGAGGCUUCAGACAAAGAAGGGAAGUUUCCAGAGGACAGGGGAGAAGACGGGUCAGGAGGGUCAGGGGGAAGGGAUGGCGGGGGUUCACCAGGAGCAAACACCGGCGGAUUCACACCGGAAGGGAGGCCAGGGACUUUCCAAACAGACUGCAUUGGGAACUGUGUCAGAGAGAGUCUGAACCAGAAUAUAUCUUGUUAUUGCUUUUUUAAGUCCCAAUUACUUCAAAAUUUCUUUAGUUAAGGAUUCUUCUUCGUGUCUUAGAGCAUGAUUAACCCGAAGUUUUUAGAGUUGAGUUCUUAGCGGAAGUUAAGAACUCCACUUUAAGAACUCAGGUUAAUCAUGGUCUUAGAGAUGUGAUCCGUUUCAUAUUUCUUCCUUUUACAUAGCAAAAGAAAAGUCAACAGAGAGGAAUCCUUACUAAU